AUUGAACGCUGGCGGCAGGCCUAACACAUGCAAGUCGAGCGGUAACACAGGGAGCUUGCUCCCGGGUGACGAGCGGCGGACGGGUGAGUAAUGUCUGGGAAACUGCCUGAUGGAGGGGGAUAACUACUGGAAACGGUAGCUAAUACCGCAUAAUGUCGCAAGACCAAAGAGGGGGACCUUCGGGCCUCUUGCCAUCAGAUGUGCCCAGAUGGGAUUGGCUAGUAGGUGGGGUAACGGCUCACCUAGGCGACGAUCCCUAGCUGGUCGGAGAGGAGGACCAGCCACACUGGAACUGAGACACGGUCCAGACUCCUACGGGAGGCAGCAGUGGGGAAUAUUGCACAAUGGGCGCAAGCCUGAUGCAGCCAUGCCGCGUGUAUGAAGAAGGCCUUCGGGUUGUAAAGUACUUUCAGCGGGGAGGAAGGUGUUGAGGUUAAUAACCUCAGCAAUUGACGUUACCCGCAGAAGAAGCACCGGCUAACUCCGUGCCAGCCGCCGCAGUAACAC
rnacentral:rRNA from 1 species